ensembl:lncRNA
GGUUAUUUCAUCAGGGUGUAAUCAUACAUAAGCUUCUCAGGGCGGUACCUCGUUGAUGCUUUAUCCUAAUUCAACACGACAUUGCAUUAGUUUUUAUUCUUCGACAACGUUAGCUUUUUCUACAUUUUCAAAAGGACGAGGUCCCACCGAGAUUUGAACUCGGAUCGCUGGAUUCAAAGUCCAGAGUGCUAACCAUUACACCAUGGGACCGUGCUGCCAGGAAGAGCGACAUAACGACAAUUAUUCACCGAUAAUAAUCCCGAUUGGCUGGCUGUCCUUGACCUUUGACCUACAAUGAAGUAACAUUCUUGUUCCCACAUUCCACAGUGAUCUUUGUAGUCUCUGAGAGGUUAUGACCUGUUAUAGCACUGUAACUGUCAGAACAUUUUGUACGUGGGAAAUGGAAAGAGAAGAACAAAGACAAUAGCCCAUAUGUUCCUGUGAGAGGACGACGGAAACAGCCAAUGGAUAACCAUUAGAGGCCCCUCUCUCUGCAUCUUUUACUUCCGUUCAUGCCUCUUACAAUCUUCCUCACUACGUCACUCCAUCACAUUUCUCUUCCUUUAUCUCAACAUUCGCCAUCAAUCAAUACAGCUCACAUGCCUGCGCACAAACACAACACAGAACCUUUCUUCUCCCACUGCGUGCCACAGGGCUGAAUUCCCCAUGUGAUCAGACUAACACAAUCAAACUUAAUGUUAUUUUUCUCUUAUGCAUACACACAUGUAUACAGCUAGCCUUCAAGGCCUGAAACAGAAGCCUCUGCUAUACUACUCAGGCAGACACACCCAAGUAAAACAUGAACUCAUCUCCUUACAAACC